AGAGUUUGAUCCUGGCUCAGGACGAACGCUGGCGGCGUGCCUAAUACAUGCAAGUCGAGCGGACAGAAGGGAGCUUGCUCCCGGAUGUUAGCGGCGGACGGGUGAGUAACACGUGGGUAACCUGCCUGUAAGACUGGGAUAACUCCGGGAAACCGGAGCUAAUACCGGAUAGUUCCUUGAACCGCAUGGUUCAAGGAUGAAAGACGGUUUCGGCUGUCACUUACAGAUGGACCCGCGGCGCAUUAGCUAGUUGGUGGGGUAAUGGCUCACCAAGGCGACGAUGCGUAGCCGACCUGAGAGGGUGAUCGGCCACACUGGGACUGAGACACGGCCCAGACUCCUACGGGAGGCAGCAGUAGGGAAUCUUCCGCAAUGGACGAAAGUCUGACGGAGCAACGCCGCGUGAGUGAUGAAGGUUUUCGGAUCGUAAAGCUCUGUUGUUAGGGAAGAACAAGUGCGAGAGUAACUGCUCGCACCU
rnacentral:rRNA from 1 species